rnacentral:lncRNA from 1 species
ACAAUUUUUAUUUGUCAAUCAAGACGCCCCGAGGAGCAGUACAAUUACAGUUUAAAUUAAAGUGUACAAAUAAUUGUGUUGAUUUUUUUCAUUGAAAUUACAAUACAUGACAAUAAAAUUAAAACAAUAUUAUAUAAGAGAAGGGAGACAACAAAUACAGUAUAUAUUCUCAAAGAUAAUGAGUGAGUGAACACAAUCAGUACCGUUUUAUAAUUAGAAGAAGAGCUGGACUACUCAUGUGUUUAUGCUUAAUUUAACUCUUCUAGAUUUUAUUAAACUAUCUAUUAAUUUAAUCAUUAUGUUAUUAACAAAUGGAUCUUCAUUUGACAUCAACCAUACAAAUUUAGAUUGGUCAU